rnacentral:rRNA from 1 species
UGGGGAAUCUUGGACAAUGGGGGAAACCCUGAUCCAGCGAUGCCGCGUGUGUGAAGAAGGCCUUAGGGUUGUAAAGCACUUUAAUGAGGGAGGAUUAGGAUGCGUUGAAUAGACGUGUCUGAGGACGUUACCUCAAGAAUAAGCACCGGCUAACUCUGUGCCAGCAGCCGCGGUAAUACAGAGGGUGCGAGCGUUAAUCGGAAUUACUGGGCGUAAAGCGCGCGUAGGUGGUUAGUUAAGUUGGAUGUGAAAUCCCCGGGCUCAACCUGGGAACUGCAUUCAAAACUGACUGACUAGAGUAUGGUAGAGGGUGGUGGAAUUUCCUGUGUAGCGGUGAAAUGCGUAGAUAUAGGAAGGAACACCAGUGGCGAAGGCGACCACCUGGACUGAUACUGACACUGAGGUGCGAAAGCGUGGGGAGCAAACAGGAUUAGAUACCCAGGUAGUCCCUGAGCGGGCUGGCAAGGCGCAU